rnacentral:lncRNA from 1 species
UCCAACAUAACGAAACGUUCGAAAUAUAACAAAGUCGUCAUCGAAAUUUAUUUAUUUUAAAAGAAUAUGAAUUUUUUUGAUAAAACUCUUAAAGAACAAAAAUAUUGUCAUCACAAUCAAAUUUUGAUUCGGAAGUCAGUUAAAUAAGGAGAAUGUAUUAGCACCUCUCACAUCCGCUGUACUCAACGAUAAUCGUUUAGUUAGUUUUGUGAAUAAGAGUGUUAGCUUUCGUUUAUUUGUUUCUUCUAGUUAUUAA